CUGAACGGCAGGUUGUAGCGGUGGGCCAGUGACGUCACCUCAUUCUCGACCCCACGCGGAAUUUGGGGCGGUUUCAGGGCAUUUGGUUCCGAGCUGUCUUGAUAUUAUCCUGGUUCGAUUUCCUGGGUUUGUUUGUUCUUAGGCUGUUGUGAGAAAUGCGUGGGUCUCCGCUCCGGUACUCUCUGUUUUCGACGCUGACUUUCAGGUGGGACAACGUGUGUCUUGAGCAAGCUAGAAGUCGGUAAUGCAGUGGAUAUCUGAAAAUAAGCUGAAGCUCAAUCUAGACAAGAUGGAGGUAAGCUUCCCUGGAUGAAAUACUCAUGGUCCUGCCUGAGGAGCACAACCAUAUUUUGCUGCAAGAGCCUGCAACCAGUUUGUGGUGGUUCGUUUUGUAUCGUGAAAUAAACAGAUUAGUAUGUACUCGU